AACUCUUUAGUCUACUCUAUCCAGUCCGACUGGCGGAGAAAUUGUAGAUUCAGACUAGUCUUUAGGUCUUACGGAUCGAUCCACUAAGGAGGAGUAAGAGAAGGAUAAGUAGAAGAAACUGAAUAGUGAUGAUGAUAUCAUGGGAGAAACAGACGAUGGAAGUUGAACAGCUGUUGAAGAAGAAGAAAAAGAAGGAUGAUGGGAGCUUGACAAGUAUCAAGAUUCAAGAGUACAAAAUGGUAAAUAUAUUGGAAUUUGAAGACAAGGAGGGAGAAGAAAAGGAACAAGUUGAUCUGUCUCUGUCGUUAUCGAUGCCUUUUCAGCCUACUGAACCUCAUUCAGAACUUCAUUUGGAUUGUAGCGGCACCAGUAAAAGAAGAUCCUUUCCUGAUAGAUAUCCUGAUUCCGAGGCUUGUAAGUCUCCGCAUGCAGGCCUGAGAUUGCUCGGUGUCUCAGGUUGUCCAGCCUAUGUUGCUUCUAAAGUGGGUGGUUUAUAGAGUUUGGGGCUGAGCGGUAUUGAUAAUACUGCGUUAUCCAGUAAUAGCAAAAUGGAAAAGGGAGAGCAAGAAAGCAGCAGUCAGAAGCGAACGUUUGCUAACGUUUUUGGUGAGGCAGAGCUGCAUUUAUAAUCUAAGAGCCAUUCAGACCAGAGACUGUCUUUAUCCCCGACUGACCAGAGGGUUCACCCCUCCAAUCCCAGUAGCAGCAGAAAGAUCUUCGGGUUCACCCUUCCUGACUCAGUGUCCCAUUUAGGCCAGACAUUUUCUGAAGCGAUAGGUUGUCCAGCCUAUCGAUUGGGCAGUUCUCUUGAUCUAUCUUUACCUUUGACUGGCCAGAGGGUUCACCCUUACAAUCCCAGCAGAAGCAGAUAGUGAGAUAAAUAUCUGGAUACACCCUUGCUGAUGCAGUGCCGUAUUUCGAUGAGUAUCCAGUGCCUCUACCAUUGUUGCCUCAGGAAUCGCCCUAGGGAGGAUCAGCUCAUAACAAGCUACCUGAACAAAAUGUUAGAGCAUCCUUCAACUUUUAAAUCAUACCAGUCGUUGAAGAUCUCUAUCAACACCAUCCUCUAUAUUUCCUGGAGCAUUCAGGCAAGAGAGAUGCUUACCUCUUCUUUGAACGCAAAAGUAAAUCUUAUGUAGAUAGAAGUGUGAAAGAUAUUGGGCUUUGGAAGAUCGAUAAUAAAAAACCAGUGUGCGCCCAUAAGUCCGAUGUCGUUAUUGGUGAAAGAGUAAAUCUGUAUUUCUUGCUGAAAGGUGAAGAUAAAAGAUCCAACUGGCUGCUUAAAGAGUUCUUCAGCACUCAGAAGCCAUCCACCAGCAAAACCGACAAAACGUGGGUUGUGUGCCGAAUGUAUGAGAGAAAUUUUAAGAAAAAUUAGUCACAAUUUUGCUGUUGUAAUGAAUCUUUGUUUAGUUGCUUAACUCCAACACUUUGAGGCGAGUGAACGUCAUUUGACAUUUUGUUGUUUCACUUUAUAAGCAUUGGGUCGCUUGUCUUGUCUAUUCUUUUCUGUGCGUCUUUUGCUAUGAUGUAUGUUUAGCUACUAUGUGUGUUUAUAUACUAAAAGUUCAGUUUUAAAGAUCA